rnacentral:rRNA from 1 species
UACAGAGGGUGCGAGCGUUGUCCGGAAUCACUGGGCGUAAAGGGCGCGUAGGUGGUGGCUUAAGCGUGCGGUGAAAGCUCGGGGCUCAACUCCGAGUCGGCCGUGCGAACUGGGCUCACUGGAGCAUAGUAGAGGCAGGUGGAAUUCCGGGUGUAGCGGUGGAAUGCGUAGAGAUCCGGAAGAACACCGGUGGCGAAGGCGGCCUGCUGGGCUAUGGCUGACACUUAGGCGCGACAGCGUGGGGAGCAAACAGG